AAAAUAGCCCUUAACAUCUGCUGCUCCUGCCUCCGGCUCUUAUUCUGAGAAAUCAAAGCUCGUCGAACCACAGUAUUGUACUGCAAAUCUCAAAAAUCUCCAACUAAGCGCUGUACUGGGAAGCCAAGAGAACUAAUUUUUGUAGAGUUGCAAAGCCAUUAGUCUAAAACUGUUGUGGACCCACAGGGGAAGGAGCCUAUCUAUUUUUUAUGGCUAGAAGAGAAAAGUAGUCCAGCUAUCAUGAGGGAAGAGAAGACAAAGAAUGAAAAAGAAACUUCAUGUUCUGUUCCUCAUCUCCAGCAUUCUCCUUUGAAAACAUUGUGUCUUCCACCUUUCAGAACCUUAUUAAAAUUUUAUGUUCCUUAAAUUCUCAAAA